UACGAACUGUGCAAACGUUAUUCGGAAUCACUGGGCUUAAAGGGUGCGUAGGCGGCUGUCUAAGUAGGGUGUGAAAGCCCCCGGCUCAACCGGGGGAAUUGCGCCCUAAACUGGAUGGCUGGAGUGAGGCAGGGGUGUGUGGAACUUCCGGUGGAGCGGUGAAAUGUGUUGAUAUCGGAAGGAACGCCGGUGGCGAAGGCGGGUCUCUGGGCCGAUACUGACGCUGAGGAGCGAAAGCGUGGGGAGCAAACAGG
rnacentral:rRNA from 1 species